AACGAACGCUGGCGGCAUGCCUAACACAUGCAAGUCGAACGAGACCUUCGGGUCUAGUGGCGCACGGGUUCGUAACGCGUGGGAACCUUCCCUUAGGUUCGGAAUAACUCCCCGAAAGGGGUGCUAAUACCGGAUAAUGUCUUCGGACCAAAGAUUUAUCGCCUUUGGAUGGGCCCGCGUUGGAUUAGCUAGUUGGUAGGGUAAAAGCCUACCAAGGCGACGAUCCAUAGCUGGUCUGAGAGGAUGAUCAGCCACACUGGGACUGAGACACGGCCCAGACUCCUACGGGAGGCAGCAGUGGGGAAUAUUGGAAAAUGGGCGAAAGCAUGAUCCAGCAAUGCCGCGUGAGUGAUGAAGGCCUUAGGGUUGUAAAGCUCUUUUACCCGGGAUGAUAAUGACAGUACCGGGAGAAUAAGCUCCGGCUAACUCCGUG
rnacentral:rRNA from 1 species